rnacentral:lncRNA from 1 species
ACACACUUGUAAGGAGACCUAAGAAGUGACUAACAAAUGUCUCCAUUUUGAGUUUUGUGGUUUAGCUCAACAGUCGGUAAGACAUUUAUUUGUCACUUGUGAGGUGAUUGUUCCUUACGAGUGUGCUAUUGUAUUUAUCAAAAACUGAAAUAGUGGAACACAUUUAAAUUAUUUUACUUAUUGAUCAACGGUCAUGAACAGUACAAUUAACGGUAAUAAUAACGUUAAGUAACGGUAACAACAACUGAUUCUUUACAAAAUUCAUUCUAUAAAUACUUUACCUUCAUUCAUAAUCUUCACAUCAUUAUGAGAAUAUUUAUUAAUGCUUUUAAAAUAGUUAAAUGUUUUCUUAUAUGCAUCACUCUACUUAUUAUUGUUUUAUUUCUUAUUAGUGUUAUCGAUAUAGAAGAAUUAAGAAGAUGGUACAAUGUAUAUCAUUCACUUUCCACAAAGUUAGAGACAAAAAUCACUAUUUUCACUAUUUAACAAAUAGUAGUUAUGGUUCGAACUUUACAAAAUCAUCCAUCACCGGUUAAAUUAAUUUGAUGUGUAACGGUAACAAGAGUACCACUUCAAAAUCAACAGCUACAAUCAUUCAUAGUGACGGAGCCUUCAUGGGUUAGGGUGGGCCACGGUCCAUCCAGAAAAAUUUAAAAAUUAACGAUUAUAGAUCUAUUUUGUAGGAUUUUAUACAAUUUUGUGUCAAUUUUAGGUUUCGGCUGAUCUAAAUUCUCGCAAAGUGGUGUAAUGACCCACCCGAAAAAUUUAAAUAAUUCAAUUAUAGGUCUAUUUUGUGAGACUUUAAACAAUUUUUCAACGGUUAUAGUUUUCCGCGGUUUCAAAAGUGGUAUAUGUGAUUUUUGUGAUGCUUAUCUUGGCAUUUUAGCGGAGGUUUAUAGACCUUCGAAUUUGCAUGAGUUCCAAAUCUCCCACAUAUUCUCCCCGUCAACUGAAAAUUCUCUCAGUUAACAGUUGUAACGUACAAAAAAAGUUUCAUAAUUUAUAUUAGUUGUUAAAUAUGCAAUUAUUUAAGUAUCCAGACUUACUUUUUAGUCAAACUCUCAUUUCAACUUCGCACUUAAUGUUUGUUACAACUUUAAUUUGUAUUUAU